rnacentral:lncRNA from 1 species
GUACAUGUUGGUAUACUUUGUGCUCAUGUAAUGGUGGCAUUAAGGCCUACAAUUUCUGAAGCACUGAAGAUGUUAGAAGGUGAUAUAGAAGUUCCAACACUGCCUGAUAGACCACUACCUCUUAGCCACGAGUCAUUGAAAUAUAUCCCAGAGUUCAGUAUAUCAACAUUGGGCAUCUCAGGUGGAAGAUCAAGCCUUGAUACAUCAGGUAGCAGAUUAAGUAUCGAUACAUCGAAACCCAGGUCUAGCAUUUAGUUAGCUGCUUGGACAAUGAUUUUUAUUGAGGCCAACAGAUAUUUCCUAAGCAGAAGCUUAAACAUUCAGUUAUAGAAAGUAAACGGAUUUGCUUCAAUGCAUAAUGCUUGCGUUUCUUGUUUGUUUAUCAUUUUAUUUGAAUGAUGUUUGUUUACCAUUUCAAGCAGACUGUGUAGGGUGUUUUUGAAUUAUAAAGUUUACAGGUAUUCAGCCUAUAUUUUAAAAGACUCUGUGAUGCUUCUUGCGUAGCAGGUUCUGAUAUUAGUUAUUCCGGUAUAUUGGUUGCUUGUAAAUCUUCUUUGAAAGUAAUGUAGGAAAGAACUGUAGCUAGAGGAGGUCAAGGCAAAGAAGAGUUGAAAGAGAAUUUGAAGAUAGAGAAGAAAGUCUGAAAAAUCAGAUUUAACUCAGGUAAAAUAAUCGAUAUUAUUGAGUUCUCCUCAAAUAUGAUGAAGACUUUUAGCUUAAAAUGGAUUCUGGAAAUUUAAUUGAGCAUUACCAAGAAACUUGCUGGCCUUGCGCAUUGUGCCCUUGUAAGUUGAAUGGAAUUCGAUUUACAGCUGUCAAGAUAAACAUCCUCGGAGGGAGAAGAUGCUUAACUUUCACAACAUCAGUUCUUUAAGCAUCAGCAUCAAGUUUUUUAGAACUUAGUACGGAUGAAACUAGUGAUUCACCCAUGUAUUGGAAGCCUAUAUUUCAGUCAAACAGCUCAUACAAGAUCUUCUGGAUCAAUAAGGACCUGUAAACAAUGGCAAUCUUCUGCACACUAGUACUAGACAUUGCAACCUUCCAUAAAGUUCCAUAAAUAUAGUUUAACCGUCUUUUCACGAGAAUCGGCGGUUACAAUUUACUAUAUGUUCGACUCAAUCAUUGGGGUAAAUAUAGUAAGACUUUUUAUUACUCUCUCCGUCCCAAAUUAACUGUCCAGUUUGACUUUUUGAUGAUCAAUUUGACCCAACUUUGACUGAAAAUUAGAAAUNUAGAUGAGCAUCUGUUUUAUGAAGAAGGGAAUACUAUUGCUAGGAAGCCAUUGGAUUGGCCUUUGCGCAAAAAUAUCAUUAUAGAUGUGGCCAAAGGGCUGGCUUAUUUGCACUAUGGAAUCAAACCAGCCAUUUAUCACCGCGACAUAAAGACCACAAACAUACUUUUAGAUUCAGAUAUGAAAGCAAGACUAGCUGAUUUUGGUCUAGCAAAGCAAACUACUGAAGGGGAAUCUCAUCUAACAACGAAAGUAGCUGGCACAUACGGGUACCUAGCUCCAGAGUAUGCUCUUUAUGGUCAACUAACCGAAAAGAGUGAUGUCUAUAGCUUUGGCAUCAUAAUUCUUGAGAUCAUGAGUGGGCGAAAAGUGCUUGACACAUCUUCAACAUCCACAAGACUUCUGAUCACGGAUUGGGCAAUGGAUCUUGUAAAAUCAGGAAAUGUUGAAAACAUUUUCGAUGAUCGAAUGGGAGAAAAUGUAUCAAAAGCAGUAAUGGAAAGAUUUGUACAUGUUGGUAUACUUUGUGCUCAUGUAAUGGUGGCAUUAAGGCCUACAAUUUCUGAAGCACUGAAGAUGUUAGAAGGUGAUAUAGAAGUUCCAACACUGCCUGAUAGACCACUACCUCUUAGCCACGAGUCAUUGAAAUAUAUCCCAGAGUUCAGUAUAUCAACAUUGGGCAUCUCAGGUGGAAGAUCAAGCCUUGAUACAUCAGGUAGCAGAUUAAGUAUCGAUACAUCGAAACCCAG